UACGAAGGGUGCAAACGUUGCUCGGGAUCAUUGGGCGUAAAGCGCACGUAGGCGGCUUUGCAAGUCUGACGUGAAAUCCCUCAGCUCAACUGAGGAAGUGCAUCGGAAACUGCAAGGCUUGAGUACUGAAGAGGAUCGCGGAAUUCCCGGGGUAGAGGUGAAAUUCGUAGAUAUCGGGAGGAACACCAGUGGCGAAGGCGGCGAUCUGGGCAGAUACUGACGCUGAGGUGCGAAAGCGUGGGGAGCAAACAGG
rnacentral:rRNA from 1 species